rnacentral:lncRNA from 1 species
GUUAACAUGUAAGUACAUUGUCUUGACGAUACGAACUAUUUUUGCUGUACAAAUUACACUAAUGAUACUCAUACUACUCUGCAGUCCCCAUGUAAUUGACACAAUCAAAUGCAUCAUAAUUCGUUCUGAUAUAUUUUAAUGGCUAAAAAUCAUUAAAUUCACCACACUAAGAGAUGGAACGGAUCAAAAGCGCAACACUACUAACCCAGGAACCCCCCAAAAGCUCUAAUUUUCACAGUUCUGUGCCAAGAGCAUCAUUUUGCAGGCGGCUGACACUUGCACGUCACAAAGUGUGGUUGAAGCGCCAUUCCAUUUGUUGGGGCUUCCUCCGCCGUGGCUGCUCAUUACUGCUGAUCAGCAGGAGUUGCUGGAGGAGGCGAUGGAUUACAACCCAUCAGGAGUUGUUCUUUAUUGGGUCUUGGUGCCUACCUCCAGAUUCGGUCCUGCAUGUAUUGACUUCUCAUUCCCUG